rnacentral:rRNA from 1 species
GACGAACGCUGGCGGCGUGCCUAACACAUGCAAGUCGAACGGGGUUAAGACUUCGGUUUUAACUUAGUGGCGAACGGGUGAGUAACGCGUGAGAAACCUGCCUUUCAGUGGGGGACAACAGUUGGAAACGACUGCUAAUACCGCAUAAUGUCAUUUGGGGGCAUCCCUGAAUGACCAAAGCUUUAUGUGCUGAAAGAUGGUCUCGCGUCUGAUUAGCUAGAUGGCGGGGUAACGGCCCACCAUGGCGACGAUCAGUAGCCGGUCUGAGAGGAUGAACGGCCACAUUGGGACUGAGAUACGGCCCAG